rnacentral:rRNA from 1 species
GACGAACGCUGGCGGCGUGCUUAACACAUGCAAGUCGAACGGAAAGUCCUCUUUCGGUGGGUACUCGGGUGGUGAACGGGUGAGUAACACGUGAGUAACCUGCCCUUGACUUUGGGAUAACUUCAGGAAACUGGUGCUAAUACCGGAUAGGAGCUCCUGCUGCAUGGUGGGGGUUGGAAAUUUUCGGCGGUUGGGGAUGGACUCGCGGCUUAUCAGCUUGUUGGUGGGGUAUUGGCUUACCAAGGCUUUGACGGGUAGCCGGCCUGAGAGGGUGACCGGCCACAGUGGGACUGAGAUACGGCCCAGACUCCUACGGGAGGCAGAAGUGGGGAAUAGUGAACAAUGGGUGGAAGCCUGAUGCAGCAACGCCGUGUGCGGGAGGACGGCCUUGGGGUUGUAAACCGCUUUCGCUCAUGACGAAGCUUUGUGUGACGGUAGUGGGUAAAGAAGCACCGGCUAACUACGUG